GACAUAUGGGGCGAGCGUUACUCGGAAUUACUAGGCGUAAAGCGCGUGUAGGCGGAAGCGCAAGUCUGCUGUGAAAUCUCCCGGCUUAACUGGGAGGGGUCGGUGGAAACUGCGUUUCUUGAGUAAGGUAGGGGGUACUGGAAUUCCAGGUGUAGCGGUGAAAUGCGUAGAUAUCUGGAGGAACACCGGUGGCGAAAGCGAGUACCUGGGCCUUUACUGACGCUGAGACGCGAAAGCGUGGGGAGCAAACAGG
rnacentral:misc_RNA from 1 species